AAUGUACUCCCUCCGUUCCAAAAUAGAUGACCCAACUUUGUACUAAAGUUAGUACAAAGUUGGUACAAAGUUGGGUCAUCUAUUUUGGAACGGAGGGAGUACUUG
rfam:Triticum aestivum genome assembly, contig: Triticum_aestivum_CS42_TGACv1_scaffold_499883_6BL